rnacentral:rRNA from 1 species
GACGAACGCUGGCGGCGUGCUUAACACAUGCAAGUCGAACGGAAAGGCCCUGCUUUUGUGGGGUGCUCGAGUGGCGAACGGGUGAGUAACACGUGAGUAACCUGCCCUUGACUUUGGGAUAACUUCAGGAAACUGGGGCUAAUACCGGAUAGGAGCUCCUGCUGCAUGGUGGGGUUGGGAAAUUUUGGGCGGUUGGGGAUGGACUCGCGGCUUAUCAGCUUGUUGGUGGGGUAGUGGCUUACCAAGGCUUUGACGGGUAGCCGGCCUGAGAGGGUGACCGGCCACAUUGGGACUGAGAUACGGCCCAGACUCCUACGGGAGGCAGCAGUGGGGAAUAUUGCACAAUGGGCGGAAGCCUGAUGCAGCAACGCCGCGUGCGGGAUGACGGCCUUCGGGUUGUAAACCGCUUUCGCCUGUGACGAAGCGUGAGUGACGGUAAUGGGUAAAGAAGCACCGGCUAACUACGUG